rnacentral:rRNA from 2 species
AUACCGGCAGUCCAAGUGAUGGCCGCUAUUAUUGGGCCUAAAGCGUCCGUAGCCAGCCAGACAGGUCCGUCGGGAAAUCCACGCGCUCAACGCGUGGGCGUCCGGCGGAAACCAGCUGGCUUGGGGCCGGAAGACUCGAGGGGUACGUCAGGGGUAGGAGUGAAAUCCUGUAAUCCUGGACGGACCACCGGUGGCGAAAGCGACUCGAGAGGACGGACCCGACGGUGAGGGACGAAAGCUAGGGUCACGAACCGGAUUAGAUACCCGGGUAGUCCUAGCUGUAAACAAUGCUCGCUAAGUAUGGCACAGGCUACGAGCCUGUGCUGUGCGGUAGUGAAGACGUGAAGCGAGCCGCCUGGGAAGUACGUCCGCAAGGAUGAA